CGGGCAUGGUGGUGGGAG
rnacentral:miRNA from 1 species